AGUGAACGCUGGCGGUAGGCCUAACACAUGCAAGUCGAACGGCAGCACAGUAAGAGCUUGCUCUUACGGGUGGCGAGUGGCGGACGGGUGAGGAAUACAUCGGAACCUACUUUUUCGUGGGGGAUAACGUAGGGAAACUUACGCUAAUACCGCAUACGACCUACGGGUGAAAGCAGGGGAUCUUCGGACCUUGCGCGAUUGAAUGAGCCGAUGUCGGAUUAGCUAGUUGGCGGGGUAAAGGCCCACCAAGGCGACGAUCCGUAGCUGGUCUGAGAGGAUGAUCAGCCACACUGGAACUGAGACACGGUCCAGACUCCUACGGGAAGCAGCAGUGGGGAAUAUUGGACAAUGGGCGCAAGCCUGAUCCAGCCAUACCGCGUGGGUGAAGAAGGCCUUCGGGUUGUAAAGCCCUUUUGUUGGGAAAGAAAAGCAGCAGGUUAAUACCCCGCUGUUCUGACGGUACCCAAAGAAUAAGCACCGGCUAACUUCGUG
rnacentral:rRNA from 1 species